rnacentral:rRNA from 1 species
AUGUCGAGGUCCAGCCCAGCCCAGCACACAGGACGCACCAAUCCAAAACCAUUUCCCCUUUCGCCUGGUUCCUGCCUUCCCCACGCCGCACCGCCGCCUCCGCCGCACCGACGCCGUCCCGCUCGUUCUCCUCCGCCGGAACCCACCGACGCACGCCUCGAAGCGGAGCAAAUCUCUGCCCGUCUCUCUACAGGAUCUGGACUCGGCUCCUGCUACUCCUCCUCCCUCUGUCGCAGGGCCGAGUUGCCGGAGCAGAUGGUGGGAUUUGGUAGCCUCGCGCCCAAGACCAAGAACCUGGUGGUGGGCGGCGGGCUGACAGGGUUCGUCUUUGGGGUGUACUACUACACCAUGAGAGCGGUUGGCAGCACUGAUGAGCUGCAGGUCGCCAUCGACAAGUUUGAAGACCUGAAGAAGGACGCCGCGGCCACCCCCACCGCAAACCCCUCCACCCCAGGCUCAUCGUAG